rnacentral:rRNA from 1 species
AUGGACGCCACCGUGGUACAGACCCUGAUCGCCAUCGUCGUGCUUUUGCUGAUCUCGAGGGCCCUGUGGUAUCUGGUGUGGAGGCCGUACUCCGUCACUCGGCGGUUUGAGCAGCAGGGGAUACGAGGGCCACCUUACAAACUCGUCGUUGGGUCCUUGUGGGAUAUCAAACAGAUGUUGGUUGCCCGGAGAGCAAAGGGGGCUCUGGAUAUCGGUAACCACGACUACACCUCCCGUGUCAGUCCCUUCUUUCACAAAUGGACCUCCGAUUACGGGAAAACAUUUCUGUAUUGGUUGGGGCCAAUACCGGCAAUAUGUUCUACUGACACAGAGCUAGUCAAGCAAGUGCUGGAUGACAGGACAAACUUGUUCCAAAAGGACUACCUAAAUCAAUGA